rnacentral:rRNA from 1 species
GAUGAACGCUGGCGGCGUGCCUAAUACAUGCAAGUCGAGCGAACAGACGAGGAGCUUGCUCCUCUGACGUUAGCGGCGGACGGGUGAGUAACACGUGGAUAACCUACCUAUAAGACUGGGAUAACUUCGGGAAACCGGAGCUAAUACCGGAUAAUAUAUUGAACCGCAUGGUUCAAUAGUGAAAGACGGUUUUGCUGUCACUUAUAGAUGGAUCCGCGCCGCAUUAGCUAGUUGGUAAGGUAACGGCUGACCAAGGCGACGGUGCGUAGCCGACCUGAGAGAGUGAUGGGCCAGACCGGAACUGGUACACGGCCACGACUCCUACGGGAGGCAGCAGUUGGUACUCCGGCGCGAUGGGCGGGAGCCUGACGGAGCAACGCCGCGUGAGUGAUGAAGGUCUUCGGUGCGUACGACUCUGUUAUUAGGGUAGUACAAUUGUGUAAGUAACUAUGCACGACGUGACGGUACCUACUCAGAAAGCCACGGCUAACUACGUG